rnacentral:rRNA from 1 species
CCUACGGGAGGCAGCAGUGGGGAAUAUUGCGCAAUGGGCGAAAGCCUGACGCAGCGACGCCGCGUGAGGGAUGAAGGUCUUCGGAUCGUAAACCUCUGUUAGCAGGGAAGAACGGUCACUGUGCUAAUCAGCAGUGAAUUGACGGUACCUGCAAAGGAAGCACCGGCUAACUCCGUGCCAGCAGCCGCGGUAAUACGGAGGGUGCGAGCGUUAAUCGGAAUUACUGGGCGUAAAGGGAUCGUAGGCGGUAUGUCAAGUCAAGGGUGAAAUUCCCGCGCUCAACGUGGGAACUGCCUUUGAGACUGGCAGUCUGGAGUGUGGGAGAGGAAAGUGGAAUUCGAGGUGUAGGAGUGAAAUCCGUAGAUAUCUGGAGGAACAUCAAUGGCGAAGGCGACUAUCUGGCACAUAACUGACACUGAGGAGCGAAAGCGUGGGUAGCAAACAGGAUUAGAUACCCUUGUAGUC